UGAAGGCAGAGAGAAGAGGAAAGAAAUAGCCAGCUGUGCGCCAUCCCUGUCAGCACUUCUAGUGGCCUGCGGCCACACCCUCCCGAGGUACUCAGCCAGCUCUUCACUGGCAGCAGGGAAAAGCUGAGUCUCUCCAGUUCUUAGGCUCCAUAUCUAGAGGUAAAUGGCCCAGAGAUUUUUCUGAGGGCAUUCCUUAUUCUUCAUUUGAUGGCAUGAGCACCAAGAAGACAGGAGCCGAGAAACAUUACCAUUUUUGGAACAAAGUGACAAAGGAAAACAGAAAGAGACAGAAGGGCCCAUCCUUCGGGAAGAGCGCACUAGCGCGUGAGUUAGUGGCAGACCCACUCCAGGGUUCAGCGGAGACUGCAAUCCCCCGUGUUCCUGUGUCUCUGAGAUAUUCCACAUAAAUGAUUAACAGUGGAUCAACAGACUAAAAACAAAGCAUGUUUACAGCACUUCAUUUAUACUGCCUUGUUGCUUGACAAAAUUCCGUUAUGCUUCCUGUCGGUAGUGCCUGAGGACAUGAAAAGGUAUCAUUUUGAGUCUUGGAAAUGAUGAUGACUGUGUCCCCAGCCCAGGGCUGUGGCCUGAUUCAACGAAGUCAACCAUCACAUCUCAAGUCCCUCCAAUCAGAGCCAUGGGUCAGGCCUCCCCAAGAGCAAGUCUCAGCAAAUACCAAGGAAAGAAGGGGAUGAUCCAGAUACCUAGACCUGCACAUUGAGGAGCUGCGCCCUGCCUGCCAGGGCGCUGUUGGCAGUGGAAUUUCACAUGUGCGGCCUCAGAGUGCUGGCCCAGCGUGGCUCAGCACCAGCCCUAGAGUGGCCUGCAGAGUCCCUUCCACCCGAGGGGGUGGAGGAAGAAGUGGAAAGGUAUUUCCUGGUCAGCGGUGCCAACACAGGGGCCGCUGGUGCGAUGCUAGGAUGGCAUCUGGGAUCUGCUGCUCCUCUGGGAGGACACUGACCUGCGCGAGGCCUCUGCCAGCUCACAGAGCAGGUGGGUUUGUGCAAAGCCUUCUUCCGGUCUCACCCACCGGAACCACAUGGCAUGUGAGCCCUUCUCCAGCACGCUGCAGUUCCCUCUGGUUUUGCGCAUCCUUCCUGUCCAGAUUAAAGAGGAUUUAGCAAAGCCAUUUCACGUGAUUUUGCAGAUUUUUUUUCCCUUUGAGGACACAUUUUUAUUUUUGUAAUUUAACCUGACAAGAAGUGAAACAUUCUGAAUAAAACCUUGUCCCAAAAGACUUACGCCCCAGAUGGAAAAUAAAUGUCUAAAAUUUGAAUACAAUUCUUUAAGGUUAUUUAGGUAGUGUUAUAAAUACUACAAUACCAGCUAAUUGUACAAGUAUCAGCCUUUUAAUCUAAACUAAUCUGCCUUUUCCUCUCAAGUAUUAUUAUUCAAACUUGAUAAGCAUUUUUGGGCUCCAAGGAGUUUAAUUUGCUUUUAUAAUUAUUUGGCUAAACUACCGCCUUUACAAUAUCUACAUUAGCAAUACACUAUUUCCUUAUUAACUAUUUCAAGGUCUUGAAAUUGUUUUAUAUUUUAAAAUAAUAAUUUUUGUUGAUGUAACUAAUUAUGAUAGCAUUUUGCAAUAACAGCUAUUCAUUUUGCUCCAGCCGACUGGUAGAAUUUCAGUAUAAGAAUAAGAACAAUAGCCUAAGUGGAAUCUUUCUCCCACUUAUAUCUCCUUUGCUCUCUUGCAUUAAAAAGACAUGUUCAGGAGAAAGUCAUAAAUCAGUGUCACUCCCUGUUGGUGUGAGCCACAGACCCAUGAGUUGGAUGUCACCUGGAGGGUCCUGGAGUCGUGAAACACACGGACACAGGCAGGUGCUAGGGCCCAUGGGGAGCAGGAGUCAGAGACUGGUUCUUCCAAGGGCCAGCAGGUUAGGGGCCAGGUGGACAAGCCACACGGGCUGUCCCGAGGUCACCUGGUGGCCAGAGGGAACCAGGAUUCUUGCAGGCACCAUGAUGGUGAACUGGAAAAUCUGGGAGAUAAAAUUUAAAUCCCCACUCUGCCAUUUUCUGUGUGAUUUCACUAAGCUGAGUGAAACUCUCUACACUUGUGAUGGGGGAACAAUGCCCAUCUCACAGCGCUGUGAAGAGUCGAUGAGAAUACGGAAAGACAGUCGAAGCCGGACAGCAUAGCUGGGACCCUGGAGUUGGGUCAAAUCCCAGCUGUCCCCCCGGGGGUCACGGACUCGUCCAUCACGUGAUGUGAGGCUAUUCCAGGAGCCUCGGUGUCCUCAGUGCAUGAUGGGGACCUGAGCAGCACCCAGCAUGCUGGGCACGGAGUAAAGCUCAGAGCCAUCAGCUGGCAUCACACAGCGGACAGCUCCUCCCAGGGCAUCCCCUCGGCACUCAACGAGAGACCGCGAUUCUUGGCUAAGCGGGGCUGCUGGAGGAGAACAGGAAGCACACUGAGAGCAGCAGCAGGAGCUAUAAUCUGAGCUCAACUUUGUCACCAAGGAAAUUUGGCAGAGCAAACCCGACCUUUUCCCAGGGACCACUGUGAAUAAACAUACACAACACCCUCUGCAGAAACACACACACACACACACACACACACACACACACACAAACACACACACCUGGGAUGCAUGAAAGCAACAGGGGCUCUGUCCGGGUCUGUCCGCAAAGCAAUGAAACACGCAUGCCCGGAAAGCACGGGCUCCUAGCAAGAGCAGUUGUACUCCGGAUGUUUGCCACGCCCAGCGCCGAAAGUGCGGCACAACCUUGAGCUUAUGAUAACCUCGGAAGAGCAUCCGGGACAGACAGGCGUGCGUGGUUGCACUUGUUAAAUAUGUUUGUUAAGUAUUUUUGAUUCGGCCAACGGCUCUAUUUGAAGUCUGGCUCCUCUGCACUUGUUCAAGUCAGCUUCUUUUCUUUCCAACACCCUUCCCUGUCUGAAUCUCCCCUUGACAGUCUGAGGCCAAUCCCAAGGGGCUUGACACUCCCCUUCUCCGUGCCUCAGGAUGCUGCCCGAGAUGCUACGUGCAGGGGCCAGGGUGGGAGCGCUGGGAGGAGGGUAACGUGUGAGAUAGAGAAACUUCCCGCCUGGUCCUCUGCCCCAAAAGCGAUGGACCAUCUUCUAGAUUGGCAAAUAAUGAGGAAAGUUGGGUCCACUCUUCUGCAAGCAGCUGGAGUCACAGGGGCCGGCACUACAGCAAACCCUUGGUGAUCGGGUUAUGCCAAUGAGCUCCACGUGAAUUUCAAAAUCAGAGCACACAGUAUGCUCCUAUAUAAAUAAAUGCAAAUGUCUGUAC
rnacentral:lncRNA from 1 species